UUGAUCCCCUGUCGGAGCCUUGCAGGAGCUUGGAGCCCAGCUGGCAUUUCCCCACAUUGUCUCCUCAGGAGCUGAUUGAUCACGAGUCCGUCGACUCCCUGACCGGCGUGAUGCGUCAGCAAGCUAUGCUCGCCAUCAUGAAGCUGAGCAAAAUGAAGCUACCGGUGCGGAUCCUGACACAACCCAGCCUGCUCGCCACCUGCUUCUCCAGCAUCUUCUCCCUGCCUCCAGCACACACCAUGGAGGAGGUGGAGGCUGCUCUCUACACCAAAACUUUGAAAACCAUGGAUGAGAUGCUGAAGGCCUUGGUGUGCGAGGAUCAGA